CCUACGGGUGGCAGCAGUGAGGAAUAUUGGUCAAUGGCCGUAAGGCUGAACCAGCCAAGUCGCGUGAAGGAAGAAGGAUCUAUGGUUUGUAAACUUCUUUUAUAGGGGAAUAAAGGUAUCCACGUGUGGAUAUUUGCAUGUACCCUAUGAAUAAGCAUAGGCUAACUCCGUGCCAGCAGCCGCGGUAAGACGGAGGAGGCGGGCGUUAUCCGGAUUUAUGUGGGUUAAAGGGUGCGUAGGUUGUUUUUUAAGUCAGCGGUGAAAGUUUGUGGCUCAACCAUAAAAUUGCCGUUGAAACUGGAAGACGUGAGUGUGUUUGAGGUAGGCGGAAUGCGUGGUGUAGCGGUGAAAUGCAUAGAUAUCACGCAGAACUCCGAUUGCGAAGGCAGCAUACCGGUGCACAACUGACGCUCAGGCACGAAAGCGUGGGUAUCGAACAGGAUUAGAUACCCUGGUAGUC
rnacentral:rRNA from 1 species